rnacentral:rRNA from 1 species
AGUGAACGCUGGCGGUAGGCCUAACACAUGCAAGUCGAACGGCAGCACGGGAGAGCUUGCUCUCUGGGUGGCGAGUGGCGGACGGGUGAGGAAUACAUCGGAAUCUACUUUUUCGUGGGGGAUAACGUAGGGAAACUUACGCUAAUACCGCAUACGACCUACGGGUGAAAGCAGGGGAUCUUCGGACCUUUCGCGAUUGAAUGAGCCGAUGUCGGAUUAGCUAGUUGGCGGGGUAAAGGCCCACCAAGGCGACGAUCCGUAGCUGGUCUGAGAGGAUGAUCAGCCACACUGGAACUGAGACACGGUCCAGACUCCUACGGGAGGCAGCAGUGGGGAAUAUUGGACAAUGGGCGCAAGCCUGAUCCAGCCAUACCGCGUGGGUGAAGAAGGCCUCCGGGUUGUAAAGCCCUUUUGUUGGGAAAGAAAUCCAGCUGGUUAAUACCCGGUUGGGAUGACGGUACCCAAAGAAUAAGCACCGGCUAACUUCGUGCCAGCAGCCGCCGUAA